ACAAUGAUACGCCCGUAACUCGCGGCCCGGCCAUAAGGAGGGCGGGGAGAUGAAAUAUCUGUGG
rfam:Oscillibacter sp. CAG:241 genomic scaffold, scf73